GGCCGCCUGGCGAAAUGGCAUCGCGUCUGACUACGAUAAUCUCUACCAACAUCUUGGGAUUGUAAUCAGGAGAUUGCAGGUUCGACCCCUGCGGUGGUCA